UGCCCCGUGGCUGAGUUGGUUACAGCGUCCGACUGUUAUACGUGCAAAUCUGGAUGUGUGGCUGAUUGGCAUCGGAAGGUCGUGAGUUCGAGCCUCACCGGGGCAG